CCUAUCUAGCGCUGAGUCAGUGUAACCCAGUGUUGGGUAGUCUGUGCCAAACCGGUCAAAACUGGAUACAUUUAUCAGUGGAUUUUGUGUUCUGCCCUGAGAGAAGACUUGACUGGCAGGAAACAUCCUGAACGAAAUUAAGCUGUGGUCGCGCUGUGGGUUUGAUGGGUUGAAACCUAAAUGUCAUGAGAUUUCCAUUGGCUGCUCUUGCUGUUUCUGUCAGGCCCUAAAACCUUUACUGAAUGUUUUUGAAGAUUUUAUGAUUGUAAAAGACUGACUUGAA